ACCAGGAGGUUUGUGGAAAAUAUAGCAGGAUUGAGGAAGCUUGGAUGAGUUCAGCCACAUAGAGAAUGAUGAAGAUGACUCUGACGUUAGCCGUAGCACAGACAGUGAAAUUAGAAGUAAGCGCAGGAGAAACUCAAGUUCCAGUGAGGACUCCAGUGACAGCAACCCUGACAGUGAUGAGGAACAAGAACAGUGAAUGAAGAAAACAGCAGGUGUUAAAGGGGACAGCAGCGUGGUUGGUCCCCUGCCUGUGGGGUCAUCUUCUGGCAUCACUGCCCUGAUAGAGUAAG
rnacentral:lncRNA from 1 species